rnacentral:rRNA from 1 species
UACGUAUGGGGCAAGCGUUGUCCGGAUUUAUUGGGCGUAAAGAGCGUGUAGGCGGCCAAGCAGGUCCGCUGUGAAAACUCGAGGCUCAACCUCGAGACGUCGGUGGAAACCGUUUGGCUAGAGUCCGGAAGAGGAGAGUGGAAUUCCCGGUGUAGCGGUGAAAUGCGCAGAUAUCGGGAAGAACACCCGUGGCGAAGGCGGCUCUCUGGGACGGUACUGACGCUGAGACGCGAAAGCGUGGGGAGCAAACAGG